rnacentral:rRNA from 1 species
GCAGUCGAACGGACCCUUCGGGGUUAGUGGCGGACGGGUGAGUAACACGUGGGAACGUGCCUUUAGGUUCGGAAUAGCUCCUGGAAACGGGUGGUAAUGCCGAAUGUGCCCUUCGGGGGAAAGAUUUAUCGCCUUUAGAGCGGCCCGCGUCUGAUUAGCUAGUUGGUGAGGUAACGGCUCACCAAGGCGACGAUCAGUAGCUGGUCUGAGAGGAUGACCAGCCACACUGGGACUGAGACACGGCCCAGACUCCUACGGGAGGCAGCAGUGGGGAAUCUUGCGCAAUGGGCGAAAGCCUGACGCAGCCAUGCCGCGUGAAUGAUGAAGGUCUUAGGAUUGUAAAAUUCUUUCACCGGGGACGAUAAUGACGGUACCCGGAGAAGAAGCCCCGGCUAACUUCGUGCCAGCAGCCGCGGUAAUACGAAGGGGGCUAGCGUUGCUCGGAAUUACUGGGCGUAAAGG